GGGCGACUGAAAGGGGAGGAGCCCAGCGCAUAACCUCGCGGUCGUUUUGAGGCCGUAGAGGGGUGUUGCGUUUCGGUGCAUCCGUACCGCUCUUUUUGCCGACCGCCUAAGUCAUUGCUUGAAUGCAGCCCCGAGGAGGGUGGUAGGCCCGUGUGGCGGCGCCUGUAAAAAGGUUUGAAGCAAUUUGAGCGGAGGGGUGUUUACCGUAGAGUCGGGUUGCUUAGUACUGCAGCCCUAAGUAGGUGGUAAACUCCAUCUAAGGCUAAAUACUANCACGAGUCCGAUAUUUGACAAGUACCGUGAGGGAAAGCUGAAAAGGACUCUGAAGAGAGAGUUCAAGAGGACGUGAAACCAUUANAAGCUAAAACGGNUGGAACCGUGAANGUGGAAAGAGGGGAUUCANGCUGUGCGCACGCGCUGGGCNNCCAGGUGGGCUAGCGUGAGACGACCCUNCGUU
rnacentral:rRNA from 1 species